rnacentral:lncRNA from 1 species
AUUAAUAUUUUCCUACUACAUUCAAAAUCUACAAGUUGGUUUUUAAAUAUUUUCCUACUACAUCCAAAAUCUACAAGUUUCAGCAUCAUCAAAACUCAUCUUCAGGUUUUACCAAUACUCCUUAUUGGUAACAAGAUUUUCUUUGAAUUAAAGUACCUCAACAAAGGCAGGCCAUGUAUGUUAUGAAUAUUUAGAAUUAGCC